rnacentral:rRNA from 1 species
AGCGAACGCUGGCGGCAGGCCUAACACAUGCAAGUCGAGCGGCCGUAGCAAUACGGCAGCGGCAGACGGGAUAGUAACACGUGGGAACGCGCCCUUCGGUUCGGAAUAACUCAGGGAAACUUGAGCUAAUACCGGAUACGCCCUUACGGGGAAAGAUUUAUUGCCGAAGGAACGGCCCGCGUCGGAUUAGCUAGUUGGUGAGGUAAUGGCUCACCAAGGCGACGAUCCGUAGCUGGUCUGAGAGGAUGACCAGCAUCACUGGGACUGAGACACGGCCCAGACUCCUACGGGAGGCAGCAGUGGGGAAUAUUGGACAAUGGGCGCAAGCCUGAUCCAGCCAUGCCGCGUGGAUGAUGAAGGCCCUAGGGUUGUAAAGUCCUUUUAACGGGGAAGAUAAUGACGGUACCCGUAGAAUAAGCCCCGGCUAACUUCGUGCCAGCCGCCGCCGUAA